CCAGGAGCAAUUGAUGGGAAAGUUGAGGCUGCUGCUGAAAGGCAGUAGUCCUUUGAGGCGCUGCGGGAGACCCAAUGAGGCCGGAGUGAAUGCGAUGGGGGGCACCGCCAUAGGUUGG
rnacentral:SRP_RNA from 16 species